UACGAAGGGGGGCAAGCGUUGUUCGGAAUCACUGGGCGUAAAAGCGCACGUAGGCGGAUUGUUAAGUUAGGGGGUGAAAUCCCGGGGGCUCAACCUCGGAACUGCCUCUGAUACUGGCAAUCUUGAGUUCGGGGAGAGGAGUGUGGAACUCCGAGUGUAGAGGUGAAAUUCGUAGAUAUUCGGAAGAACACCAGAGGCGAAGGCGGCACUCUGGCCCCGAUACUGACGCUGAGGUGCGAAAAGCGUGGGGGAGCAAACAGGAUUAGAUACCCCCGGUAGUCC
rnacentral:rRNA from 1 species